rnacentral:rRNA from 1 species
AGAGUUUGAUCCUGGCUCAGGAUGAACGCUGGCGGCGUGCUUAACACAUGCAAGUCGAACGAUGAUCCCAGCUUGCUGGGGGAUUAGUGGCGAACGGGUGAGUAACACGUGAGUAACCUGCCCUUAACUCUGGGAUAAGCCUGGGAAACUGGGUCUAAUACCGGAUAUGACUCCUCAUCGCAUGGUGGGGGGUGGAAAGCUUUAUUGUGGUUUUGGAUGGACUCGCGGCCUAUCAGCUUGUUGGUGAGGUAAUGGCUCACCAAGGCGACGACGGGUAGCCGGCCUGAGAGGGUGACCGGCCACACUGGGACUGAGACACGGCCCAGACUCCUACGGGAGGCAGCAGUGGGGAAUAUUGCACAAUGGGCGAAAGCCUGAUGCAGCGACGCCGCGUGAGGGAUGACGGCCUUCGGGUUGUAAACCUCUUUCAGUAGGGAAGGAGCGAAAGUGACGGUACCUGCAGAAGAAGCGCCGGCUAACUACGUGCCAGCAGCCGCGGUAAUACGUAGGGCGCAAGCGUUAUCCGGAAUUAUUGGGCGUAAAGAGCUCGUAGGCGGUUUGUCGCGUCUGCCGUGAAAGUCCGGGGCUCAACUCCGGAUCUGCGGUGGGUACGGGCAGACUAGAGUGAUGUAGGGGAGACUGGAAUUCCUGGUGUAGCGGUGAAAUGCGCAGAUAUCAGGAGGAACACCGAUGGCGAAGGCAGGUCUCUGGGCAUUAACUGACGCUGAGGAGCGAAAGCAUGGGGAGCGAACAGGAUUAGAUACCCCGGUAGUCC